rnacentral:rRNA from 1 species
AUGAACCACUCCUUCUAUAAUUGUUUUGAAGGCAACGUCUCUGUGGCGUACACGAAGUUGAGUGAGUUAACCACAAGAGGACAGACAUGGAAUAUUAAAGCCAAAGUAAUGAGAAUGUGGGACUCGAUCAAUCCUUCGACUGAUGAACUUAUAAGCAUCGAUAUGAUCUUGAUGGAUGAGCAGGGCCAUACAGUUCAUGCUACUAUUUGGAAGAAUCUAAUAGACACUUACAGAGCAAAGAUCAACGAGGGUUCUAUAUAUGCUUUUAGCAAUUUUAAAGUUGUAGAUUCGACAAAAUAUCGACCAGUCAGCAAUGAAAUUAAAAUUACUUUUUUAUACAACACAAAAUUAAAGGAGAUGAAAGGUUCAUCGGAUAAUUUUCCAGAUUACUACUUUGAGUUUGCUAGCACCCUACAAGAACGUCUAGAAAAAGACCAACAAUGCUCAGAUGCCAUUGGGUUGCUUACCAAGAUUAAGCCAAUAGAAUCAAGGAUAACAAAGAAGAAAACACCUGCAGAUGUACGUCAAAUUGAAAUUCUAAUGCCAGAGGGUGAUAGAAUCAGAGUAUCAUUAUGGGGAAGAUUAGCUCAUCAUUUAAGUGAGGAUGUAAUUGGCAAUCAAACAAUUAUUAUUGUUACCUCAACAAUGGUGCAAAAAUUCAAUGGUUUGUGCCUAAAGUCAACUGGCGCCACAAGAUUAUAUACGAAUCUAGAUAUACCCGAGACUUGGGAACUUCGUGGCAGCCACUCCACCAAAGAAACUUUACCAAAAAUGAUGGAGAUAGAUAAAAGUACUCAAGGGACACUGGAAGAUCAAAUGUUUUACAGAAGGAUAACCUUAAAAGAACUUACUGGAAUUAGGCACGACAACCCAACAGAUGAGGACUUUGUGUUCACAACAAUAGCUACAAUUGAUCGGUUACAAGAAAAUAUUCAAUGGUGGUAUCGUAUUCGGCUUCAAAUUAGUGAUCACAGUGCUACUACAAGUUGCACUUUAUUUGAUGAAGAGGCUGAAAGAAUGCUCAAUACAUCUGUCUCAUUCCUGUUGGAUUCCUUAGAUGGAAAAUCUGAAGAAAUCCCAAAGAUUAUACAAGAAUUAUGUGGACAAAGACUUAUCUUUCGAUUCAAACUCAACAAUAAGAACCUCACUCUAGGCAUGCAGAACUAUGCAGUAAAGAAAAUAUUUGUGCCUGAUGAGAAGCUUGAGAAGCGAUACUUAGAGGAUAAAGCUGAAGAGGAUUUGAUGGAUGAUGAAGUGGACAACAUGUUAAAACAAGAAACAAAGAAACCGAAUGAGCCAGUUAAAAAGGUGAUUGUAUACUUCACUGUACAAGCUUUUCUUUACAUAAAUUCAUCUCUUAAUUCAUCCAUUUAUGUGAUUUUUGCAGGUACAAAUCAGCAAGUGUGA